CGGAGCCCAUGGAACCGGGAGCCGAUGAAGGACGUGAUACGCUGCGCGAAGGUUCGGGGAGAUGGACGUAAACGUUGAGUCGAAGAUUUCAGAAUGAGGAAACUCACUUCGGGUAGUGUCUAAGAAGCAUUAAAUGAAGACAAAGCGUAAUGAGGGGAACUCAGGGAACUGAAACGUCUAAGGACCUGAAGGAAGAGAAAAUAAUUCGAAUCCGUAAGUAGCGGCGAGAGAACGCGAAUUAGCCCAAACCAAUGAAGUUUUCUUUAUUGGGGUUGCGGACAUAUCAUAACGAAGAGGUAUCGUUAUCGAAGAGGUUAGGAAAUACCCACCACAGAAGGUAAUAAUCCUGUAUGUUAAACGGGAAGACCUUAGCUCAGAUCCAGAGUACCACGGGACGCGUGAAACCCUGCAGGAAGCCGGGGGGACCACCCUGCAAGGCUAAUUACUACCUUGUGACCGAUAACGUAUAGUACCGUGCGUCAACGGCGACAAGAACUCCGGGACGGGAGUGA
rnacentral:rRNA from 1 species